rnacentral:rRNA from 1 species
GACGAACGCUGGCGGCGUGCUUAACACAUGCAAGUCGAGCGGUAAGGCCCUUUCGGGGGUACACGAGCGGCGAACGGGUGAGUAACACGUGGGCGACCUACCCUCAGCUUCGGGAUAAGCCUGGGAAACUGGGUCUAAUACCGGAUAUGACCUUCCCUCGCAUGGGGGUUGGUGGAAAGUUUUUUCGGCUGGGGAGUGGGCCCGCGGCCUAUCAGCUUGUUGGUGGGGUGAUGGCCUACCAAGGCGACGACGGGUAGCCGGCCUGAGAGGGCGACCGGCCACACUGGGACUGAGAUACGGCCCAGACUCCUACGGGAGGCAGCAGUGGGGAAUAUUGCGCAAUGGGCGGAAGCCUGACGCAGCGACGCCGCGUGGGGGAUGACGGCCU